rnacentral:rRNA from 1 species
UAGGGAAUCUUCGGCAAUGGACGAAAGUCUGACCGAGCAACGCCGCGUGAGUGAAGAAGGUUUUCGGAUCGUAAAACUCUGUUGUUAGAGAAGAACAAGGACGUUAGUAACUGAACGUCCCCUGACGGUAUCUAACCAGAAAGCCACGGCUAACUACGUGCCAGCAGCCGCGGUAAUACGUAGGUGGCAAGCGUUGUCCGGAUUUAUUGGGCGUAAAGCGAGCGCAGGCGGUUUCUUAAGUCUGAUGUGAAAGCCCCCGGCUCAACCGGGGAGGGUCAUUGGAAACUGGGAGCCUUGAGUGCAGAAGAGGAGAGUGGAAUUCCAUGUGUAGCGGUGAAAUGCGUAGAUAUAGGGAGGAACACCAGUGGCGAAGGCGGCUCUCUGGUCUGUAACUGACGCUGAGGCUCGAAAGCGUGGGGAGCAAACAGG